CAUGGCUCCGCGAAAGCAGGUUCAUUGUCGGCUUCGUUACACACACCGAUUUACGAGCGAGAGCGCAAACAGUCCAGCGCGGAGUCCCAAAGCGCGAGUUGACUAAGGUGGUGUGUCCACCAGCGGCCAUAAAGUCUCCAUUCAUGGGGGGUCAACAGCACGAAGUUCUCCUGCAGUCGGAACAUGUCCACUACCAAAAGAGGCCGAGCCUCAAAGGCCAUAAACAACUCUCCCUCCGACAUAAUGAUCCGGCAGACUCACAUCAAAUACAGACGUGGAUGAAAGACAGAGGCGAAGCACCUCCACCCCAGCUCCUGUAUGUGCCAUUACAUGCAGCAGAGUUCAUUAAGCUGUGUGUGUGAGGAGAGAUGAAGGCCCCUGUGCUGGGGGAUUUCCCCCUGCGAGCAUACUGUCUGAACACGACCGCCAGUGUCUUUGACUACGGUGCAAAUUCAUGGCUGAGGGCGUAUUUUCACCAGGCCUCAGAUCCCAGAUCCUGUCUUCUUUCCACACACACAUAGAAGUUCCUUCUCUUUCCUAACUCUCUUUUUUUUUUUUACUAGCAUUCUAGUUAAACGGUACAUACAGCGAUUGAAAUAUGCCUUUGAUAAGAAUGAAGAAUUGAUUUAUGGCCGUACUUUUAUCAUCGCUCACUCAUAACCCGCUGCCCCCGAGCACUUUGUCCUGUGGAGAGGUUUUUGGGGAGGAAACCACCUGCUUUGAUUUAUAACCCCCAUGGAUUCAAAGUUGCAGUCUGGACUGCAGUGUGUUAAAUCCCUGACAUCUCUUCUAGGUUCAGUCGCACCGCUGUGCUCUGGCCGGUCCAGACUUUGAGCCUGAUGGUCCAAAUUAUCAUUUAUACAUGAACAGCUUUCUUGGAUCACAAGGAAAAAAAACACUCCAAAGGGUCCAAAUUUGCCAAAGCAUGUGGAGGAAUUCCUCUGGUUUCAUUCAGACAGAUGCAGGUCGACUGGAAGUGACUUCCAGAUUCCUCAAUAAAAAACAACAUUGAGAAAAAGUGACAAUUUGUCAACAGUUGUUUGCAACACCGAGCUACAGAUGGGACUUCCUCCAGUGAAACACGGUGGCAAUAACCCGACAGCGGCUUCCGAUACACUGGGAUCUGCAUUGGAAAUGCAGUUCGUCUCCUAGGGCUACAGGCCCUCCUCCAUUGUUUCACGGCUAUCUUGACACCCACUCACCAGAAUGGAGGCAUACCGCAAUGAACCCUGGGAUCUGCGAUGCUGCCACCGAUAGGCGCAGCAGUGCCACAGAUUCCAUUAAGCUCCAAAUUAAAGCAGGCACAUCAAAGGGCCUGUGAGGAGGCAGCAUGGAGAUGUGACAGGGAGAGGGGGAACAAAAAAU